UACAGAGGUCUCAAGCGUUUGUUCGGAUUCAUUGGGCGUAAAGGGUGCGUAGGUGGCGCCGUAAGUCAGGUGUGAAAUUUCGGAGCUUAACUCCGAAACUGCAUUUGAUACUGCGGUGCUUGAGGACUGGAGAGGAGACUGGAAUUCACGGUGUAGCAGUGAAAUGCGUAGAUAUCGUGAGGAAGACCAGUGGCGAAGGCGGGUCUCGUGAACAGUUCCUGACACUGAGGCACGAAGGCUAGGGGGAGCAAACGGG
rnacentral:rRNA from 1 species